rnacentral:misc_RNA from 1 species
AAAAAAAAAACCCAAAUGAGAAACCUGGACUUGAAACCCAUCCCCCAGCCGCCAGUCUCUUAACUAGUGGUAUAAAAUACUCAACCAAGUCCUGCUCCCUCAUCUGUGCCCCAAUUCUAGAUAAGGACUCCACAGCUUUGUCUCUGACGCAAGUUUCCUCAACAGUGCACAAAGUCUCAAGAGGUGGAAGCAACACAUUGGCAUGCUCGACACCACCAACAUAGGGAAUGAAGACCCCCAAUUCUUCAGCCAUUGCAAGAAGCACUUCAUCAUCAUCAUCAUUAUUCU